UACGGAGGAGGCAAGCGUUAUCCGGAAUUAUUGGGCGUAAAGCGUCCGCAGGUGGCACCUCAAGUCUGCUGUCAAAGACCGGGGCUUAACCCAGAAAGGCAGUGGAAACUGAAGUGCUAGAGUGCAGUAGGGGUAAAGGGAAUUUCCAGUGGAGCGGUGAAAUGCGUAGAGAUUGGAAAGAACACCGAUGGCGAAGGCACUUUACUGGGCUAUUACUAACACUCAGAGACGAAAGCUAGGGUAGCAAAUGGG
rnacentral:rRNA from 1 species